rnacentral:rRNA from 1 species
GUUUGUUUGAAGCUAUAAAGAAUUUGACCUGCCCCCUGAUUAACUAUUAAAGGGCCGCAGUAUUAUAACUGUGCAAAGGUAGCAUAAUCAUUAGGUUUUUAAUUGAAAUCUCGUAUGAAUGGUUGGACAAAAGAAAGACUCUCUUUAUAUUAAGUUUUGAAUUUAACUUUUAAGUGAAAAGGCUUAAAUAUUCUAAAGGGACGAUAAGACCCUAUAAAACUUUACAUUGUCAUUAAUUUUGAUUGAAUUUAUAAAAUAAGAAUUUUAUUUGAUCAUCUGUUAUGUUGGGGAGACACAAGUAAAAUAUUUUUUUAACUGCUUGAUAGUUAUACAAUUAUUAGUGAGUAAGUAGAAGAUCCUUUUUAAGAUUAGUAGAUUAAGUUACUUUAGGGAUAACAGUGUAAUUUCUUUUGAGAGUUCUUAUCGAAAAAGAAGGUUGCAACCUCGAUGUUGAAUUAAAAUAUCUAUAUAAUGGAGAGGUUAUAUAAGAAGGUCUGUUCGACCUUGAAAUUUUUACAUGAUUUGAGUUCAAACCGGUGUGAG